rnacentral:tRNA from 1 species
AGCCCAUGGUGUUACACCCCAAAGUGCAAAUUUGGAAACGCACCUCAACAGGUGCCUGGGCUU